rnacentral:rRNA from 1 species
CUGCAAAGAAGUGGGUAGUUUAACCUUCGGGAGGACGCUCACCACUUUGUGGUUCAUGACUGGGGUGAAGUCGUAACAAGGUAGCGCUAGGGGAACCUGGCGCUGGAUCACCUCCUUAUACGAUGAU